rnacentral:rRNA from 1 species
CCGAUGGUACUGCACUCGGGAGGGUGUGGGAGAGUAGGACGCCGCCGGAC